CCUACGGGGUGCAGCAGUGGGGAAUAUUGGACAAUGGGCGAAAGCCUGAUCCAGCCAUGCCGCGUGUGUGAAGAAGGCCUUCGGGUUGUAAAGCACUUUCAGUGGGGAAGAAAGCCUUGGGGCUAAUACCCUCGAGGAAGGACAUCACCCACAGAAGAAGCACCGGCUAACUCCGUGCCAGCAGCCGCGGUAAUACGGAGGGUGCGAGCGUUAAUCGGAAUUACUGGGCGUAAAGCGCGCGUAGGCGGUCUGAUAAGCCGGUUGUGAAAGCCCCGGGCUCAUCCUGGGAACGGCAUCCGGAACUGUCAGGCUAGAGUGCAGGAGAGGAAGGUAGAAUUCCCGGUGUAGCGGUGAAAUGCGUAGAGAUCGGGAGGAAUACCAGUGGCGAAGGCGGCCUUCUGGACUGACACUGACGCUGAGGUGCGAAAGCGUGGGUAGCAAACAGGAUUAGAUACCCCAGUAGUC
rnacentral:rRNA from 1 species